GAUGAACGCUGGCGGCGUGCCUAAUACAUGCAAGUCGAGCGAACAGACGAGGAGCUUGCUCCUCUGACGUUAGCGGCGGACGGGUGAGUAACACGUGGAUAACCUACCUAUAAGACUGGGAUAACUUCGGGAAACCGGAGCUAAUACCGGAUAAUAUAUUGAACCGCAUGGUUCAAUAGUGAAAGACGGUUUUGCUGUCACUUAUAGAUGGAUCCGCGCCGCAUUAGCUAGUUGGUAAGGUAACGGCUUACCAAGGCAACGAUGCGUAGCCGACCUGAGAGGGGGAUCGGCCCAACUGGAACGGAGAAACGGGCCAGACCCCAGGGGGGGGCAGAAGGGGGGAAUCUUCCGCAAGGGGCGAAAGCCUGAGGGAGCAACCCCGGGGGAGGGAGGAAGGUUUGCGGAUCGUAAAACUUUGUUAUUAGGGAAAAAAAAAUGUGUAAGUAACUAUGCACGUUUUGACGGUACCAAAUCAAAAAGCCCCGGCUAACUACGU
rnacentral:rRNA from 1 species